CAAGAGCUCGACAUUCCUUAAGGUUGUUCUUUCCAACCCAUACAAGGUUCCACCGCCUGCAUUGUUCCAAGAGUGUCUUGGACGAAAGCAGGAAGUGGAACCUUGUUAGGGUUGGAACGAACUGCCUUAAGGAAGUCGAUGCUCCAG
rnacentral:pre_miRNA from 3 species